GCCCUGGGAGGCAGGUGGAGUUCUCCUCACACNUUUCUAGAUGAGGAGUGAGGCUGAGGGGCCUGGGCAGGCCCGAGACCACAGAGGAGCAAGUGUUGGAGCUGGGACUGAUCGAGAAUCAGAGCAUCUGGAAAAGGGAGCAGCCACACACACCAGAGGUCCAGGGUCCAAGAUCAAGGGCCUGGGACACAUGUGGAAGGGAGCAUGGCCUCCCUGACCUUGUCCUUGACCCUGCAGGAAGCGACCUCUUUGUGGGAGACCCUGGAGAUGGAUCCCUGGAUAGCCCAGGAGAGGCAGCAGUGGCAGGGUGUCGUCCCCUUCCUGGGCUCACUCCUCGAUUACCUGCAGCUUCUGGACACUGAGAUGGAGGAUUAUCUGAAGGAGCGUGAGCAUGGAGGUGGGAACAGGGAACAGGAUCCUGAGGUUUGGGAGGCGAGAGCCCUGCACUGGGCCCUGAGCUCUCAGCACUUGGCAAAGCUCCUCUCCUGAGAACCUCCUGGCCGCCCCUGGAGCUGGGGCCUCAGGCACAUCUUAGCAAUGUGAGACCCAAGGCUUUGCAUAAUCCCCCCUCCAGGCUCCCUGGGCUGGGGGAGCUCAGAGCUGCCCUGACUACAGAGCUGCAGGAGGUGGGUGUCAGAGCUGGACUCAGCCUCUCCCUCAGGCCCCGCCCCUGGGGGAGUGAAGUCAGCCCCUGCAAGUCAGGAAGCACAUCCGUGGUCCAGCUGUCCCUUCCUUGCUGAGGGCUCAGUCUCCCUGUCUGUCAUCAGAGAGGUUGGAGCUACAGAGUCUGUGGCCUCAGUGACCCUGUCCCCCCUGCGCUGGAGCCCAGAGCCUGGCCCAGGUUCAGGCUCUCCUUGUGGCAGUGUCUGCCCUCUGCUGGGCCCUGGCAGUCCUGCAACCUGGGAAGGGGUGGGCUGGGGGCUAGUCAUGGGCCAAGGGGCCUGUUUCUGAUGGACAUUGGCUGUCUGCCUUCGAGGGAAAUAUGGUGAACUUCCAGAAAUGGAGUGAGGUGAGCAGCCGUGCCCUCGAUGCGGGGAGGGUGGGGCUGUGGAAAUCAGAGACCUCCCCUGCAAGACUUUCUCUGGCCUCAUCCCUUGGGUCUUAUCUUUAUUGGGAGAGUUAGAUACAGGCAGCUGGGGAUCCCAUCACAUUGGGGGUGGGGAGGAGGGGCUGACAUCGAGGACACCUUCCUGGAUGAGGAACUAUUUCAACCCAACUGUGAGAAAAGGCAAGUCCUGAAUGGAGUGGGAGGGAAGGAGGGUUCCCAAUGAGCAAAGACCCCAGAGCAGCUCCUCACUACCCACAAGUUCCUGGCUGGGUUCCCCCCCAGGCCCUGUCUGCAUCCUGUCCUUCCUCCCAGAAAUUCAAGGUCAUUAAAAGGAUCCAGCUGCUCCAGGCGGCUGCCAAUGAAUGCCACCUGCAGCCCGAGGAGCACUUUGGGGCCUGGUUCCAGGCCAUGGAGCCCCUCCGUGAGGAAGAGAGCUACAGCCUGUCCUGCCAGCUGGAGCCCCCAAACAUGAAGGUGAGCAAAACGCGAGGCUUCUUCAGGACCAAGAAGAACCGGCCAUCCUCAAGAUUGGGGCUGACUGCCAUGCGCUUGGCAAGGAGCCAUCACACUCUAGAUGCCACCACAAGCUCAGCCUCUUCAGGUGCAGGGACAUGGCUGGGACCCUCGGGGUGCACCAGGCCAGCUCUUCCCACCCGGAUGUGAAGGAGGACAUCCCUGGGAGUUGUGGUGUGGUUCACCUCCUGUGCUCAUAUAAAUGAGACACAAAACCUCACCUUCCUCCUUGAAUUAAGAACUAGUGCACGGUCACAGCUCAUCGUAUGUGGGACAAGGGAGGAAGGCCAGCCCCCUCCCUGGCAAGUUAAGGACCACCCAAGUCUCCCUUCCUUAGAGGACAGAUGGCACUUGCCAGGACCCAUGUCCUGCCCCGGGACAGUGGCUGCCUUUCUACAGCUUUUGAAGAAGAAGGAAUGUUUUCUGCUUCUCUUGUGGAGCUUUCUUUUGAUCAAGUUUUGGAACGUGUAGUUUCUAAUGAAUCUCUGGAAUUGCACUAACAGUAAAUGGGGAAAAAAUGUAAAAAGAU
ensembl:lncRNA